GCAAUGCCGCGUGCAGGAUGAAGGCCUUCGGGUUGUAAACUGCUUUUGUACGGAACGAAACGGCGAGCUCUAAUACAGUUUGCUAAUGACGGUACCGUAAGAAUAAGCACCGGCUAACUACGUGCCAGCAGCCGCGGUAAUACGUAGGGUGCGAGCGUUAAUCGGAAUUACUGGGCGUAAAGCGUGCGCAGGCGGUGAUGUAAGACAGAUGUGAAAUCCCCGGGCUCAACCUGGGACCUGCAUUUGUGACUGCAUCGCUAGAGUACGGUAGAGGGGGAUGGAAUUCCGCGUGUAGCAGUGAAAUGCGUAGAUAUGCGGAGGAACACCGAUGGCGAAGGCAAUCCCCUGGACCUGUACUGACGCUCAUGCACGAAAGCGUGGGGAGCAAACAGGAUUAGAUACCCUGGUAGUCCACGCCCUAAACGAUGUCAACUGGUUGUUGGGUCUUCACUGACUCAGUAACGAAGCUAACGCGUG
rnacentral:rRNA from 1 species